AGAGUUUGAUCCUGGCUCAGAUUGAACGCUGGCGGCAUGCCUUACACAUGCAAGUCGAGCGGAAACGAGUUUUCUGAUCCUUCCGGGAGCGAUACGGGCGUCUAGCGGCGGACAGCGGACCAAUGCCUGGGAGAUUGCCCUGCUGUGGGGGAUAUCCUUUGGCAUGAAUGGCUAAUAUCACAUGAUGCCAACUGCCCACCUAGGGGUACCUUCGGGCCUCUCGCGUCAUGAUAUGCCUAGGGGGGAUUAGGUUUAUGGUGAGGGCAAGGUUCACCUGGGCGAAGAUCCCUACCUGGCCUGAUGGGACGGUCACCCACACUGGAACUGAAACGCGGGCCACACUCCUAAAUUAUGCACCAUGGGGGAAUAUUGGAUCCUGGGCUGCCGCCUGAUGCAUCCAUGCCCCCUGUAUGAAAAAUGCCUUCGGGUUGAAAAGAACUUUCGGUCCUGAUGAAC
rnacentral:rRNA from 1 species